rnacentral:rRNA from 1 species
AACGAACGCUGGCGGCGUGGAUAAGACAUGCAAGUCGAGCGGGAACUUUCGCUGUAGCAAUACAGUGAAAGUUCUAGCGGCGAACGGGUGCGUAACACGUGGACAAUCUGCCUUAAAGUGGGGGAUAGCUCGGCGAAAGCCGAAUUAAUACCGCAUGUGAUGAGAGACGACAUCGUCUUGAAAUCAAAGCCGGGGCAACCUGGCGCUUUUUGAGGAGUCCGCGGCCAUCAGCUUGUUGGUGAGGUAACGGCUCACCAAGGCUAUGACGGGUAGCUGGGUCUGAGAGGACGACCAGUCACACUGGAACUGAGACACGGGUCCAG